rnacentral:rRNA from 1 species
UAAGGAACCUACCGAUAAGCGGGGACAACAUCCGGAAACGGGUGCUAAUACCGCAUAGGAAGUUUGUUCGCAUGAACAAACUUAGAAAGAUGGCUCUGCUAUCACUUAUCGAUGGCCUUGCGGUGCAUUAACUAGUUGGCGAGGUAACGGCUCACCAAGGUGAUGAUGCAUAGCCGACCUGAGAGGGUAAUCGGCCACAUUGGGACUGAGACACGGCCCAAACUCCUACGGGAGGCAGCAGGU